UAAAAGGGAAAGCCAAACCCCGAAUUCUAUCAUCGUUUUUGAACGGAAGCUACAAUCAACAUGAAAAUACUGUUCACUGCUGUGCUCGCUGUCUUGGCGUCCAACUGCUUUGCUCAAGAUGGAGCUACUCCAACUCCGCCACCUGAAGUUCCAGCAACUGUAUCCCUACCUAAGCUAAAGCUGCUUCUUGAAAUAUAAAGUUGAUUCAAAUAUUCAUUCAUAAUGAGCUGGUCCAAUUAAUUGUUGGGGCAUUAAAGUCUACAAAUUUGGUUUAAAUCUGGCCUGUUCGGGCGCGUAAGACUGCCCUUGU
rnacentral:sRNA from 1 species